rnacentral:rRNA from 1 species
CCUACGGGAGGCAGCAGUAGGGAAUCUUCCACAAUGGGCGAAAGCCUGAUGGAGCAACGCCGCGUGAGUGAUGAAGGCCUUCGGGUUGUAAAACUCUGUCAUUCGGGACGAACCGGAGUCUGAGGAAAUGCAGACUCUCUGACGGUACCGGAGGAGGAAGCCCCGGCUAACUACGUGCCAGCAGCCGCGGUAAUACGUAGGGGGCAAGCGUUGUCCGGAUUCACUGGGCGUAAAGCGCGCGCAGGCGGUGAUGUAAGUCUGAGGUGAAAACCCGAAGCUCAACUUCGGGACUGCCUUGGAUACUGCGUCACUUGAGGAUAGGAGAGGCAAGGGGAAUUCCACGUGUAGCGGUGAAAUGCGUAGAGAUGUGGAGGAACACCUGUGGCGAAGGCGCCUUGCUGGCCUAUUUCUGACGCUGAGGCGCGAAAGCGUGGGGAGCAAACAGGAUUAGAUACCCUGGUAGUCCACGCUGUAAACGAUGAGUGCUAGGUGUAGGUGGGCUCAUACCCAUCUGUGCCGAAGCUAACGCAUUAAGCACUCCGCCUGGGGAGUACGGUCGCAAGACUGAAACUUAAAUGAAUUGACGGCUUGAGGACGNGCGAGCGACGACGAGGGAGAGG